rnacentral:rRNA from 1 species
UACGUAGGGAGCAAGCGUUGUCCGGAAUCAUUGGGCGUAAAGCGCGCGUAGGCGGCCCGAUAAGUCCGCUGUAAAAGUCAACGGCUCAACUGUUGAAAGCCGGUGGAUACUGUCGGGCUAGAGUACGGAAGAGGCAAGUGGAAUUCCUGGUGUAGCGGUGGAAUGCGCAGAUAUCAGGAGGAACACCCAUGGCGAAGGCAGCUUGCUGGGACGUUACUGACGCUAAGGCGCGAAAGCGUGGGGAGCGAACAGG